rnacentral:tRNA from 1 species
CCGCCGGUAGCUCAGGGGUUAGAGCGUUGUUCUUAUAAAGCAAAUGUCGGUGGUUCAAUUCCACCUCGGCGGACCA